rnacentral:rRNA from 1 species
AUUGAACGCUGGCGGCAGGCCUAACACAUGCAAGUCGAACGAGUGGCGGACGGGUGAGUAAUGUCUGGGAAACUGCCCGAUGGAGGGGGAUAACUACUGGAAACGGUAGCUAAUACCGCAUACCAUCGGAUGUGCCCAGAUGGGAUUAGCUAGUAGGUGGGGUAACGGCUCACCUAGGCGAAAGUCCCUAGCUGGUCUGAGAGGAUGACCAGACACACUGGGACGGAGACACGCUCCACAUUCCUCAGCGAGGGAGCAGUGGGGAAUAUUUCAAAAUGGGCGCAAGACUGAUACAGACCUGCCGCGUGUAUGAAGAAGGCCGUCGGGUUGUAAAGUACUUUCAGCGAGGAGGCGUUACUCGCAGAAGAAGCACCGGCUAACUCCGUGCCAGCAGCCGCGGUAAUAC